rnacentral:rRNA from 1 species
GUGGGGAAUAUUGGACAAUGGGCGAAAGCCUGAUCCAGCCAUGCCGCGUGUGUGAAGAAGGUCUUCGGAUUGUAAAGCACUUUAAGUUGGGAGGAAGGGCAGUAAGUUAAUACCUUGCUGUUUUGACGUUACCGACAGAAUAAGCACCGGCUAACUACGUGCCAGCAGCCGCGGUAAUACGUAGGGUGCAAGCGUUAAUCGGAAUUACUGGUCGUAAAGCGCGCGUAGGUGGUUCAGCAAGUUGGAGGUGAAAUCCCCGGGCUCAACCUGGGAACUGCCUCCAAAACUACUGGGCUAGAGUACGGUAGAGGGUAGUGGAAUUUCCUGUGUAGCGGUGAAAUGCGUAGAUAUAGGAAGGAACACCAGUGGCGAAGGCGACUACCUGGACUGAUACUGACACUGAGGUGCGAAAGCGUGGGGAGCAAACAGGAUUAGAAACCCGGGUAGUCC